CUAAAAGUACAUAAUGUGAAGUAUCAAAAUCAUUUGACAUUGCUCUUUCAUUGUCGUCAAAUAGUCAUGGAUUGUUGGACAAGUGACUCCGAACACAAUAUGGAUGAAUUGUGAAGUGCGAAAAUUGUGAUUAAUUAAAAAAAACUUUUAUUUUUAAAAACAAUUUAUGUUGAUGUAAAGAUAAAGUUGCGAAAAAUAGAAAGAAGAAAUUCG
rnacentral:lncRNA from 1 species